UACGAAGGGGGCUAGCGUUGUUCGGAAUUACUGGGCGUAAAGCGCGCGUAGGUUGUGCAGCAAGUCAGUGGUGAAAUCCCGGAGCUUAACUUCGGAACUGCCAUUGAAACUGCUGUACUGGAAUCUCAGAGGGGAUAGCGGAAUUCCAAAUGUAGGGGUGAAAUCCGUAGAUAUUUGGAGGAACACCGGUGGCGGAGGCGGCUAUCUGGAUGAGUAUUGACACUGAGGCGCGAAAGCGUGGGGAUCAAACAGG
rnacentral:rRNA from 1 species